rnacentral:rRNA from 1 species
UUGGUGAAGUAAUAUACUUAGUGGCGGACGGGUGAGUAACGCGUGAACAAUCUGCCCUGUACAAAGGAAUAGCCUCGGGAAACCGGGAUUAAAACCAUAUGACACUUGAGUAUCACAUGAUACAUAAGUCAAAUCGAUUUAGAGGUAUAGGAUGAGUUCGCGUCUGAUUAGCUAGUUGGUAAGGUAAUGGCUUACCAAGGCGACGAUCAGUAGCCGGCCUGAGAGGGUGAACGGCCACACUGGAACUGAGACGCGGUCCAGACUCCUACGGGAGGCAGCAGUGGGGAAUAUUGCACAAUGGGGGAAACCCUGAUGCAGCGACGCCGCGUGAGUGAAGAAGGUCUUCGGAUCGUAAAACUCUGUCCUUGGUGAAGAAAAAAAUGACGGUAGCCAAGGAGGAAGCCCCGGCUAACUACGUGCCAGCAGCCGCGGUAAUACGUAGGGGGCGAGCGUUGUCCGGAUUUACUGGGCGUAAAGGGUGAGUAGGCGGUAAUAUGUGUCAGAUGUAAAAGGCGUAGGCUCAACCUAUGUUAGCAUUUGAAACUGUAUUACUUGAGUGCAGGAGAGGUAAGUGGAAUUCCUAGUGUAGCGGUGAAAUGCGUAGAUAUUAGGAGGAACACCAGUGACGAAGGCGACUUACUGGACUGUAACUGACGCUGAGUCACGAAAGCGUGGGUAGCAAACAGGAUUAGAUACCCUGGUAGUCCACGCUGUAAACGAUGAGUGCUAGGUGUUGGGUAGCGAUAUUCAGUGCCGAAGUUAACACAAUAAGCACUCCGCCUGGGGAGUACGGUCGCAAGACUGAAACUCAAAGGAAUUGACGGGGACCCGCACAAGCAGCGGAGCAUGUGGUUUAAUUCGAAGCAACGCGAAGAACCUUACCAAGGCUUGACAUCCCCUUGACCAGUGCAGAAAUGUACUCUCUCCUUCGGGAGCAAGGGUGACAGGUGGUGCAUGGUUGUCGUCAGCUCGUGUCGUGAGAUGUUGGGUUAAGUCCCGCAACGAGCGCAACCCUUAUCAUUAGUUGCCAGCAGGUUAAGCUGGGCACUCUAAUGAGACUGCCGAUGAUAAAUCGGAGGAAGGUGGGGAUGACGUCAAAUCAUCAUGCCCCUUAUGUC